CGGCCUGCUGGUCGGCUUCGGCCAGCAGAUCGCCCUGCUGGAGCGGAUGAGCUGAUCGUGAGGACGGCUAAGCCGGUUCAACACCGGCGGACCGG
rnacentral:tRNA from 1 species